ensembl:lncRNA
CUCAGCCUGCACUCCAGAUCAGGCCAUGCUCUCAGCUACCAUAUUCCUUUGAUGGCAUUUGGAGGCUGCUGGUGCCCAGCAUCAAUUAGAGCAAAGAGGGCAAUAAGGGCAGCAGGAGCUCCCUUUGCUUCAGGGGUGUCUCCAGGAGUGGAUGUGCAGAGCAGGUGUGUUCAAUUUGUGCCUGAAGUUGUUGUGUUGUUGAGUUGGUACAAUGGAAUAAAAGUUGAAAUGCUCUGGGUAAAGUGCUGCAGAAGACUGCCAGUGGUAUUUUUUUUAGUUUGUUGAGUAGGUAUGAAUUGUAGGUAGGUAGGAAGGGUGUGCAAGCUUUUUUCAGCCUAAGUUUAAUGCAACAGCUGUGCUGCAUUAGCUUUGCUCUGUAGGCACCUGUGAGCUGCUGGGAGGGGCUGUGAAGCUGUGCCACUGCCUUAAAGGUGCAGGAAGGGUGGGCUUUGUGGUGUGAAUCUCUUUCUCUUCUCCAGGUCUGUGAUGUGAGUUGAGAUGUCCUAUCUGCAAGUUCCCCCCAGCAUCCAGCACAGCUGGCUGGGAGCCCUUGGGCACACUUUGCUGCAGCAGUUCCUGGUCUUUGAGGCUGUGAUGGUGCCAGUAUGUGACAACUGCGUGAGCUUGCAGAAGAACCAGUUCUGCUCAGCUUUGGCUUUUGAAGAGAAGAAAUGAUUGCUGGAGAAGCUCAGCUGGGCAGCAGGCUGCUGCAUUGGGCUGCUGCGUUGGGCACGGUGUAGGAAAUGAAACACACCACUGUGUGGGAUUGCUGCCCUGGGCGAUGGGAGAACUUGGCUUUAAAAGAAAAGCAGAGAUUUCUUUUCCCCCAUCCAUUUGUGCAGAAAAAACCCUCUGAGCGGGGUGUGAUUUCCUCCCUUGACUGAGAUCACCUGCCUCUGGCUCUCAGCUACCACCAGCCCAGGUGUCCAAAAUAAGAUGUGGGUACUCAUUGUGGUUGCUGGGCAAAGCUUGCUCUUCCUCAGACCCAGCCCAGGAGUAUGUUGGGGUGUGGUGUGGUGCAGAGGGUGCCCUGUAACACGUGGGCACUUUGGGCUGGAGGGCUGGGAGCAGCCUGUGGGAUGGGAAGGAGUACACAGCCAUGGACGACCUCAAUGGGACAGAAGGCCUCCCAGACCCUGCAGUGAGGAGAAUGAGCUCAAGCUGGAGGAAGGGCAGCUCUCACCUGCAGAUGCCUCCUCUGAAAAGAAGGGUGCCCCAAGAGUAGGGCCUAAAAUGGGUGAAUCUGCCACUAACUGUCCAUUCCCCAGAGGUAUCAGAAAGAAGUCAGGAUUUUGUUUUCUUUCUGCUUUCAAACUCCAUUGGGAUUUUGUGUGUAGCCCCACUAAGUUAAUGAACACAGAUGGGUGCCAAUAGGAGUUUAUUUUGUGGCUAGGGAUUCAGGAAGAGCUCCAGAGCAGACAAUCCUCCCACCAUUUGCAUUGAAUCAUAGGCUCUUAGAGCCAUUAUGGUUGGAAAAGACCUCUAAGAUCAUCCAGUCCAACCCAGCCCACCCCCACCAUGCCCACUGACCACGUCCCUCAGUGCCACAUCUCUAAGGACGGUGACUCCACCACCUCCAUCACCACUCUUUCUGAGAAGAAGUAUUUCCUCAUAUCCAGGCUGAACGCUGACCUGCAUGGAGCCACCACAUCUUCAGCAGCUCUCCUACUGCAGCUUCUUUUUGUAAUGAAAAACUAUGGGAUUUGCAAAGGAAGAUGAGACUGUCUUCUAUCUGAGCAACAUACUGUAGCAAAUCUGUGGUAGCUCAGUGUUCACCAAGUGGAGAGCACCAGGGCUCCCAGACAGGAGGAUGGAGCUCACUACAUCAAGCACAGCAAGCCAGGAGCUUCUUGAAUUGCUUCUGUUCUGCUGAGACUGGAAUUUUUUGGAGGUAGAUGCGCAGUACCAAACACAUGGGACCUGAGUUCUGGCCUGGGUUCGCAGCAGUGGGAACCAUGAUGUCAUUACGAGUUGGAAACCUUGUGCAGUGCUCGGCAUGGAACGGGUGGGGGGACUGAUGGGUUAGUCAGCAUGGAGCUGAGGCAGCGACAGAUUUACUGCUCCUUACACUUCCAUACGACUGAGGGAGAGGAAGCCUUGCCC